rnacentral:rRNA from 1 species
UGGGGAAUAUUGCACAAUGGAGGGAACUCUGAUGCAGCGACGCCGCGUGAGUGAUGAAGGAAUUCGUUUCGUAAAACUCUGUUCUAUGGGAAGAAAAGGACUGUACCAUAGGAGAAAGCUCCGGCUAAAUACGUGCCAGCAGCCGCGGUAAUACGUAUGGAGCGAGCGUUGUCCGGAAUUAUUGGGCGUAAAGGGUGCGCAGGCGGCUUUACAAGUUGGAUGCGAAAUAUUGUGGCUCAACCACAAACGUGCUUCCAAAACUGCAAAGCUUGAGUUAAGGAGAGGUAAUUGGAAUUCCUGGUGUAGCGGUGGAAUGCAUAGAUAUCAAGGGGAAUACCAGUGGGGAAGGCGACUAACUGGACUUAAACUGAAACUCAGGCACGAAAGCAUGGGGAGCAAACAGG